ACUGCCACCUGGUUCUAAAUCAGCACGUCCCCAAAGUGCCUGAGUAUAAGAAGUGUCUGCCAGGCUGAUUGAAAGUGUAGAAUAACAGACAGGUGAAGAAACUGAGGCACAGAGUUAGUUUAUUGCCCUAAUCACAAAGCUACAGGUGGAAGAGGAGGGUUUGAACUCAGAUUUCCUGAAUCCAAAUCUUGGUGAUGUUUAACCUAAGGUGUACUACAUCCUGAGAGCUAGCUGUCCUCAUACUCUAGUGGCCAGCCCUGUCGGCUGUCCCCGUUGUCCAGGAGAAGUUUCCCUUGGUUCUCCCAGGAGCACUAGAUGUCCUAGCACGAAGGAAACAGCAAACUGUCUGGAAGGAUGUGGACUCUGACCUGAGUCUGGAUCCUGCUCUGACUGUUGACAUGGGCAAGUCAGUGGACAGUUUGAGCCCCACAUCGUCUCCUCUGAGCUGGGGAUGGUAAUCCCUACUUCGCAGGACUCUUUUCAGGAGAGAAUAAGAUAAUGCCUGGGUACAAGGUCUGGUACCAGCGGAGACUUCUCCCAAAAUACAAGUUCUGACUUUUCCCCAGUUCAUUUCAGCUAAGCCCAAUGAAUGACAAAAAGGAUUGGCCAGGGGGGUGGAGCGAAAGCCCUGACACCAUGGAAUCUGAUUACACUGGGCUUGGUUCCUGGAUCCAGAGAGGUGUCUUUUGAACGAGUGACUUAUCCACUGGGAACUGCUUUGUCGCCAUCCAUAGAACAGAGACAUCCAGAGCCAUGCUCAUCGUAAAACUGAACUAUGCAUGUGAAGAGUUGCAUCCCGUAGCUGGCAUGUAGAAAGGGCCAGCAUCAUGACGGUGGCGACUGUGGCUGAGCCAAGGCCAUAGAAAUGGUGCCCUCUGUGGCAUCAGGCAGAACCUCUGUACCACCCUUAGAAAGAUGAUGAAACAAGUUGACAGUGGCAUCAGGUCUUUGCAUGGAGUUUUUCACCAUCUCUAAUAACGGUAUCUAUGGAUGGAAGUGUGUGUGGAAGUGGGCCGGGAGCCCAAACAUGACUGAUUUGCUUGCCUCGCCCUUGGAGCUCACACAGACAUGCCACCUUCCUUGGACUUCACACACAAGAGCUUGUCAUGUCUCAAGAACAGAAUAACUAAACCCGAGGCAGCUGGCAUUCUGCAAUGCUUUGUUCACUAACCUGAAAAACAAACCCAGCACACUGACAACAACCCACCAGCCUGCUUCAGGCAGGGCAGAGCCCAGGGACCGGAGAGCUCGCCUUGCCUGCUUAUUCGAGUGACAGCAGCAGAGAUCAAAGUUUAAUGCUCUGAUUAUCUUUCUGGUUUUGGGUACCCAGCAGGACCAAAGGGGCUGCCUCAUCCUCAGAGCCCAGAAAGGGUGGUUGGGCAGAGCUGAAAAAGGAAGGCGUCUCAGCCGAUACAAAGCCAACCCCACCGCAGUUUUAAUCAGAGUUCUGAGUGCCCUGGGCCUUCCCAAUGAUUCGGCUGGAGGGCCCGGUUCAGUUCUUUUCAGACUUCUCAGGUCCAUGGAUCCUUGGCAGGCAUGAGGAACAGAACAGAGGGACCUGCCUGGAAUAAGCCCCCAGGAAUAGAACUGCUUGUAGGAAGACCAAAGUAAUAAAUAUCUGGAUGUAUUUUCAUGCUUCUAGACCAGCUUAAAAUGCGUCACGUUAACAGAGCUCACCUUAUGAGAAAGCGGGCAUCAAACUGGUAGGGGCGGGAAGGUGCCCACCCGCCCUCUCUCCCUUAAUGAUAUUAACAGCACUAUUUAUUACUGUGAUAACAAUAAAAGCAGAUCACACUGAGUGCUCCCUAUGUGCCAGGCACUUGACAUACAUUAAUGCAUUUACUCCUCACCACAGCUCCACGAGGUAGGGUGCUAGUAGCCUCAUUUUACAGAGGGAGAAACAGAGGCUCAAAGAGCAGAUGCAAGAACCAAGAGAUGACAUUCUUAGACCAACGUGGACCCAGCCAUCAAAGAGCCUGCAGUCUAAGGAUGGGUCAUUAGGUUUGAGGAGUGGAUAAAUAUAUCGAUCAGUAGCUGUAGGCAGAUGAUGAUGGAUGUAUGACGUCAACACAAAUGAGAGAUGCAGACGAUUAGAAAGGAGAGUUUUCUGAGUCUGAAAAGAUUGGUAAGAUUCCAACAGUGGAUCACGAUGGAAGGGGGUAGGAGCUUCCGGUGGAGGUCACUGCUCAGGAAGGCCUGAAGCAAGUCUGGAUAAGAGGCAAGCAUCCUGGUGCGGCCAGACUGGGCAUUCAUAGAAGGCAAGGCUAGAAAAGGGAGGUGGAGCAGGAGUGGGAAGCCUUGAAUACCGAGUGAAAGGGACUGGGUCUUUUUUGGUCAACUGUAGGAAACGACUGAUGUCUGGAGCAGUGGAGGCCCAGGCUACUGCUCUUCUCUUGGCUUGAGAGGAAGGGAGGUAGGACAAAAGUGGCCUUUGGAGUCAGGCAGUCUGGCUUUCAUCUUAAUUUUUCCCCACGGAUUUGCUCUGUGUCCUUGAGGAAGUUACUCAGUUUCUCCAAACAAAGAGAAUACGCACAUGCAUUUCAGAGGUUUAGGGAGAGCAUUAAAUAUGAUCAUGUAUGUAAAGUGUAAGGUACAUAGUAGGUGUUUCAUGAUGGUGGCCAAUUAUUAUUAUUUAUUAAUCAUGUGAACACUCUCUUUCGUUUUCUUUUUUGUACCUGUUUCCAAAAGCAGGUCUGCAGGCUCCUGGGUAUUCCUCCAGACUCUUUCAGGGGUUUUUCGAGGUCAAAUCUGUUUUUAUAAUAACUCUGGGACGUGGCUUGUGUUUUGCAGCCUGUUGAUAUUUGCACUGGUGAUGGGUAAAACUGCUGGCAUCUUAGUACAAAUCAAGGAAGUGGCACCAGAGUGUACAAGGAAUCCAUUGGGUCCUUCACUAUCACACCCAUGCCAGUUUCAGUUAAGAACAUCCUAAAUGAAGUAAGAAAACAAUUAACUUUAACGAUGAACUCUCAGCCCUCCUUGAGUACCUAUCUUUUUAAUGAUCUGUAAAAAAAAAAAAAAAAA
rnacentral:lncRNA from 9 species